GAUGAACGCUGGCGGCGUGCCUAACACAUGCGAGUCGAGCGAAGCACUUACUUUAGAUUUCUUCGGAAUGACGAAGUUUGUGACUGAGCGGCGGACGGGUGAGUAACGCGUGGGCAACCUGCCCUGUACAGGGGGAUAACAGUUAGAAAUGACUGCUAAUACCGCAUAAGCCCACAGCUUCGCAUGAAGCAGUGGGAAAAACUCCGGUGGUACAGCAUGGGCCCGCGUCUGAUUAGCUAGUUGGUAAGGUAACGGCUUACCAAGGCGACGAUCAGUAGCCGACCUGAGAGGGGGACCGGCCACAUUGGGACUGAGACACAGCCCAAACUCCUACGGGAGGCAGCAGUGGGGAAUAUUGCACAAUGGGGGAAACCCUGAUGCCGCGACGCCGCGUGAGAGAUGAAGUAUUUCGGUAUGUAAAGCUCUAUCAGCAGGGAAGAAAGUGACGGUACCUGACUAAGAAGCCCCGGCUAACUACGUG
rnacentral:rRNA from 1 species